rnacentral:rRNA from 1 species
GAUGAACGCUGGCGGCGUGCCUAAUACAUGCAAGUCGAGCGAACAGACGAGGAGCUUGCUCCUCUGACGUUAGCGGCGGACGGGUGAGUAACACGUGGAUAACCUACCUAUAAGACUGGGAUAACUUCGGGAAACCGGAGCUAAUACCGGAUAAUCUAUUGAACCGCAUGGUUCAAUAGUGAAAGACGGUUUUGCUGUCACUUAUAGAUGGAUCCGCGCCGCAUUAGCUAGUUUGUAAGGUAACGGCUUACCAAGGCGACGAUGCGUAGCCGACCUGAGAGAGUGAUCGGCCACACUGGAACUGAGACACGGUCCAGACUCCUACGGGAGGCAGCAGUAGGGAAUCUUCCGCAAUGGGCGAAAGCCUGACGGAGCAACGCCGCGUGAGUGAUGAAGGUCUUCGGAUCGUAAAACUCUGUUAUUAGGGAAGAACAAAUGUGUAAGUAACUAUGCACGUAUUGACGGUACCUAAUCAGAAAGCCACGGCUAACUACGUG